AAUGAACGUUGGCGGCAUGGAUUAGGCAUGCAAGUCGAGCGAGAAGUGUAGCAAUACACGGAAAGCGGCGGACGGGAGAGUAAUACGUGGGAAUCUGCCCUUAGACCUGGGAUAGCAGCGGGAAACUGCUGGUAAUACCGGAUAAUGUCUAUGGACCAAAGGCGUGAUUCCGUCUGGGGAUGAGCCUACGUCCUAUUAGCUAGUUGGAAGGGUAAUGGCCUACCAAGGCGAUGAUGGGCUGCGGGUGUGAGAGCAUGACCCGCCUCACUGGGACUGAGACACUGCGCAGACACCUACGGGUGGCUGCAGUCGAGAAUCUUCGGGAAUGGGCGCAAGCCUGACCGAGCGAUGCCGCGUGCGGGAUGAAGGCCUUCGGGUUGUAAACCGCUGUCGAGGGGGAGCAACUUCCAUAGAGUUAUCUUUAUGGAUUGAGUGAUCCCUGGAGGAAGGACGGGCGAAGUUCGUGCCAGCAGCCGCAGUAACAC
rnacentral:rRNA from 1 species